GGAGCUGUCGCCUAGCCGCUACCGCAGAGUGGAGCGGGGCUGGGAGCAAAGCGCUGAGGGAGCUCGGUACGCCGCCGCCUCGCACCCGCAGCCUCGCGCCCGCCGCCGCCCGUCCCCAGAGAACCAUGGAGUCUGGCAGUACCGCCGCCAGUGAGGAGGCACGCAGCCUUCGAGAAUGUGAACUCUACGUCCAGAAGCAUAACAUUCAAGCACUGCUCAAAGAUUCUAUUGUGCAGUUGUGCACUGCUCGACCUGAGAGACCCAUGGCAUUCCUCAGGGAAUACUUUGAGAGGUUGGAGAAGGAGGAGGCAAAACAGAUUCAGAAUCUGCAGAAAGCAGGCACUCGUACAGACUCAAGGGAGGAUGAGAUUUCUCCUCCUCCACCCAACCCAGUGGUUAAAGGUAGGAGGCGACGAGGUGCUAUCAGCGCUGAGGUCUACACGGAGGAAGAUGCGGCAUCAUAUGUUAGAAAGGUUAUACCAAAAGAUUACAAGACAAUGGCCGCUUUAGCCAAAGCCAUUGAAAAGAAUGUGCUGUUUUCACAUCUUGAUGAUAAUGAGAGAAGUGAUAUUUUUGAUGCCAUGUUUUCGGUCUCCUUUAUCGCAGGAGAGACUGUGAUUCAGCAAGGUAAGGGCCUCUGGAGCAUGCAGUAUUGUUACGGGAGAGGAGGCGAGACUAGA
rnacentral:sRNA from 1 species